AUUGAACGCUGGCGGCAGGCCUCACACAUGCAAGUCGAACGAGUGGCGGACGGGUGAGUAAUGUCUGGGAAACUGCCCGAUGGAGGGGGAUAACUACUGGACACGGUAGCUAAUACCGCAUACCAUCGGAUGUGCCCAGAUGGGAUUAGCUUGUGGGUGAGGUACGGGCUCACCUAGGCGAAGAUCCCUAGCUGGGCUGAGAGGAUGACCAGCCACACUGGAACUGAGACACGGUCCCGCCUCCUACGGGAGGCAGCAGGGGGGAAUAUUGCACAAUGGGCGCAAUCCUGCUGCAGCCAUGCCGCGUGUAUGAAGAAGGCCUUCGGGUUGUAAAGUACUUUCAGCGGGGAGACGUUACCCGCAGAAGAAGCACCGGCUAACUCCGUGCCAGCAGCCGCGGUAAUUC
rnacentral:rRNA from 1 species